UGUACCAGCCCCUGCCCUGGCAGAUCCAGUGCGUGUCCCAGAGCCGCCGCACCAGCCGGGACAGCGAGAGAGGCAGGAACUCCCGGCAUAACAGCAUCUACUCGCUUUCUGGAGAGAAAGGUGACGUGACCCCUGAUGGCAGCAAGGAGAGCAAGGUCACUGACCCAUCUGAGAGAGCAGCUAUCACCAUCCAGACCCACUUCAGGAGGUACCAGCAGCAGAAGCAGGAGAAGAAGUAGCCACAGCAGCCACCUGUGGCCUGCACUGUCCCUCCUGUUUGUGUGUUCUGUUCCCCAGAGACAUUUGGGGCCGUGGUGACCGUGAACCUGCCC